rnacentral:rRNA from 1 species
CACUCCUGCGGGAGGCAGCAGUGGGGAAUUUUGGACAAUGGGCGAAAGCCUGAUCCAGCAAUGCCGCGUGAGUGAAGAAGGCCUUCGGGUUGUAAAGCCCUUUUGUCAGGGAAGAAACGGUGAGAGCUAAUAUCUUUUGCUAAUGACGGUACCUGAAGAAUAAGCACCGGCUAACUACGUGCCAGCAGCCGCGGUAAUACGUAGGGUGCAAGCGUUAAUCGGAAUUACUGGGCGUAAAGCGUGCGCAGGCGGUUUUGUAAGUCUGAUGUGAAAUCCCCGGGCUCAACCUGGGAAUUGCACUGGAGACUGCAAGGCUAGAAUCUGGCAGAGGGGGGUAGAAUUCCACGUGUAGCAGUGAAAUGCGUAGAUAUGUGGAGGAACACCGAUGGCGAAGGCAGCCCCCUGGGUCAAGAUUGACGCUCAUGCACGAAAGCGUGGGGAGCAAACAGGAUUAGAAACCCGGGUAGUCCCAUGA